rnacentral:rRNA from 1 species
GAUCAUGGCUCAGGAUGAACGCUGGCGGCGUAGCUUAACACAUGCAAGUCGAACGGAGUUUUAACGGAAGUUUCGGAUGGAAGUUAGAAACUAGUGGCGGACGGGUGAGUAACGCGUGGGUAACCUGCCUCAUACAGGGGGAUAACAGUUAGAAAUGACUGCUAACACCGCAUAAUAUAGCGAAACCGCAUGAUUUUGCUAUCAAAUAUUUAUAGGUAUGAGAUGGGCCCGCGUCUGGAUUAGCUAGUUGGUGGGGUAAAGCCUACCAAGGCGACGAUCAGUAGCCGGCUUGAGAGAGUGACCGGCCACAUUGGGACUGAGACACGGCCCAAACUCCUACGGGAGGCAGCAGUGGGGAAUAUUGGACAAUGGGGGAAACCCUGAUCCAGCGAACCGCCGCGUGAGUGAAGAAGUAUUUCGGUAUGUAAAGCUCUAUCAGCAGGGAAGAUAAUGACAGUACCUGACUAAGAAGCCCCGGCUAACUACGUGCCAGCAGCCGC